ACUCAAAUGAAUUGACGGGGGCCCGCACAAGCGGUGGAGCAUGUUGUUUAAUACGUCACUAACCGUAGAACCUUACCAGGCCUUGACAUCUCCGGAACCUCCCGGAAACGGGGGGGUGCCCUUCGGGGAGCCGGAAGACAGGUGUUGCAUGGCUGUCGUCAGCUCGUGUCGUGAGAUGUUGGGUUAAGUCCCGCAACGAGCGCAACCCUCACUCCGUGUUGCUACCAGGCCGCAAGGCGCUGGGCACUCUCGGGGAACUGCCGGUGCAAGCCGGAGGAAGGUGGGGACGACGUCAAGUCAGCAUGGCCCUUACGGCCUGGGCGACAAACAUGCUACAAUGGCGCGUACAAAGGGCUGCGAACCCGCGAGGGGGAGCCAAUCCCAAAAAGCGCGUCCCAGUUCGGAUCGGAGUCUGCAACUCGACUCCGUGAAGUCGGAAUCGCUAGUAACCGCCGGUCAGCCAUACGGCGGUGAAUACGUUCCCGGGCCUUGCACACACCGCCCGU
rnacentral:rRNA from 1 species